GGCUUGAGUACGGGAGAGGGAAGUGGAAUUCCUGGUGUAGAGGUGAAAUUCGUAGAUAUCAGGAGGAACACCGGUGGCGAAGGCGGCUUCCUGGACCGAUACUGACGCUGAGACGCGAAAGCGUGGGGAGCAAACAGGAUUAGAUACCCUGGUAGUCCACGCUGUAAACGGUGAGCACUAGGUGUAGCGGGUAUUGACCCCUGCUGUGCCGCAGCUAACGCAUUAAGUGCUCCGCCUGGGGAGUACGGUCGCAAG
rnacentral:rRNA from 1 species